CUUGGUCAUUUAGAGGAAGUAAAAGUCGUAACAAGGUUUCCGUAGGUGAACCUGCGGAAGGAUCAUUACAGAGAACGUCGCCCUCACGGGUGACUCUCCAACCCUAUGUUAUUGUACCUUUGUUGCUUUGGCGAGCCGCUUCGGCCACCGGCUUGUGCUGGUGUGUGCUCGCCAGAGGACCCCAAACUCUGAAUAUUAAUGUCGUCUGAGUACUAUAUAAUAGUUAAAACUUUCAACAACGGAUCUCUUGGUUCUGGCAUCGAUGAAGAACGCAGCGAAAUGCGAUAAGUAAUGCGAAUUGCAGAAUUCAGUGAGUCAUCGAAUCUUUGAACGCACAUUGCGCCCUGUGGUAUUCCGCAGGGCAUGCCUGUUCGAGCGUCAUUUCAACCCUCAAGCACUGCUUGGUGUUGGGCCCUGCCCGUCGCGGCCGGCCCUAAAGACAGUGGCGGCGCCGUCUGGCUCUAAGCGUAGUACAACUCUCGCUCUGGAGCCCUGCGGUAGCUUGCCAGAACCCCUAAUCUUAUGGUUGACCUCGGAUCAGGUAGGGAUACCCGCUGAACUUAAGCAUAUCAAUAAGCGGAGGA
rnacentral:rRNA from 1 species